rnacentral:rRNA from 1 species
CCUACGGGUGGCAGCAGUGAGGAAUAUUGGUCAAUGGACGCAAGUCUGAACCAGCCAAGCCGCGUGCAGGAUGACGGCCCUAUGAGUUGUAAACUGCUUUUGUACGGGGGUAAACCCCGAUACGUGUGUCGGGUUGAAAGUAUCUUAAGAAUAAGGAUCGGCUAACUCCGUGCCAGCAGCCGCGGUAAUACGGAGGAUCCGAGCGUUAUCCGGAUUUAUUGGGUUUAAAGGGUGCGUAGGCGGGUUGGUAAGUUAGAGGUGAAAUGUGGGGGCUCAACCCCGACACUGCCUCUGAUACUGGUGGACUAGAGUAUAGUUGAGGUAGGCGGAAUGUAUGGUGUAGCGGUGAAAUGCUUAGAGAUCAUGCAGAACACCGAUUGCGAAGGCAGCUUACCAAACUAUAUCUGACGUUGAGGCACGAAAGCGUGGGUAGCAAACAGGAUUAGAUACCCUGGUAGUC